UUCUUCUUAGUUUAAUGGUAGAACAAGGUUCUUCUAAAACCUUGAUUUUGGUUCGAUUCCAAAAGAGGAUG
rnacentral:tRNA from 1 species